rnacentral:rRNA from 1 species
UACGUAGGGGGCAAGCGUUGUCCGGAUUUAUUGGGCGUAAAGAGCGUGUAGGCGGCCAGGUAGGUCAGCUGUGAAAGACUCGAGGCUCAACCUCGAGAUGUCGGCUGAAACCAUCUGGCUAGAGUCCGGAAGAGGAGAAUGGAAUUCCCGGUGUAGCGGUGAAAUGCGCAGAUAUCGGGAAGAACACCCGUGGCGAAGGCGGUUCUCUGGGACGGUACUGACGCUGAGACGCGAAAGCGUGGGGAGCGAACAGG